rnacentral:rRNA from 1 species
AUUGAACGCUGGCGGCAUGCCUUACACAUGCAAGUCGAACGGUAACGCGGGGCAACCUGGCGACGAGUGGCGAACGGGUGAGUAACGCAUCGGAACGUGCCCAGUAGUGGGGGAUAGCCCGGCGAAAGCCGGAUUAAUACCGCAUACGACCUACGGGUGAAAGGGGGGGAUCGCAAGACCUCUCGCUAUUGGAGCGGCCGAUGUCAGAUUAGGUAGUUGGUGGGGUAAAGGCCUACCAAGCCGACGAUCUGUAGCUGGUCUGAGAGGACGACCAGCCACACUGGGACGGAGACACGGCCCAGACUCCUACGGGAGGCAGCAGUGGGGAAUUUUGGACAAUGGGCGAAAGCCUGAUCCAGCCAUGCCGCGUGCGGGAAGAAGGCCUUCGGGUUGUAAACCGCUUUUGUCAGGGAAGAAAUCUUCUGAGCUAAUACCUCGGGAGGAUGACGGUACCUGAAGAAUAAGCACCGGCUAACUACGUGCCAGCCGCCGCCGUAA